rnacentral:rRNA from 1 species
GUCUAUGGCCAUGCCACCCUGAACGUGUCCUAUCUCGUCCAGGAUCGGGCCUGGUUAGUACUUGGAUGGGAGACCACUUAGGAAUACCAAGUGCUAUACGCA